rnacentral:rRNA from 1 species
UACGGAGGAUCCAAGCGUUAUCCGGAUUUAUUGGGUUUAAAGGGUGCGUAGGUGGGUCUGUAAGUCAGUGGUGAAAUCUCCGAGCUUAACUCGGAAACUGCCAUUGAUACUAUAGGUCUUGAAUUAUCUGGAGGUAAGCGGAAUAUGUCAUGUAGCGGUGAAAUGCUUAGAUAUGACAUAGAACACCAAUUGCGAAGGCAGCUUACUACGGAUUGAUUGACACUGAGGCACGAAAGCGUGGGGAUCAAACAGG